CACCACAACGGUGGAGCCUGCGGUUUAAUUGGACUCAACGCCGGGCAGCUCACCGGAUAAGACAGCUGGAUGAUAGCCGGGCUGAAGACUCUGCUUGACUAGCUGAGAGGAGGUGCAUGGCCGUCGUCAGUUCGUACUGUGAAGCAUCCUGUUAAGUCAGGCAACGAGCGAGACCCACGCCAACAGUUGCCAGCAUGUCCUCCGGGAUGAUGGGGACACUGUUGGGACCGCCUCUGCUAAAGAGGAGGAAGGAAUGGGCAACGGUAGGUCAGCAUGCCCCGAAUUAUCCGGGCUACACGCGGGCUACAAUGGUCAGGACAAUGGGUAUCGACACCGAGAGGUGGAGGCAAUCUCCUAAACCUGUCCUUGGUUCGGAUUGUGGGCUGCAACUCGCCCACAUGAAGCUGGAAUCCGUAGUAAUCGCGUUUCAAAAUAGCGCGGUGAAUACGUCCCUGCUCCUU
rnacentral:rRNA from 1 species